rnacentral:lncRNA from 1 species
AUCCGUAAGCAUGGGCACCCUCAUAGAUAUCUGCAUAGCUUCUUUGUUAUAUUAUAUAGGUUAUGCAAACAAAUAGUUGGUCAAACCCUAACAGUACUGAUCUCUGUGGUGUGUAAGGUACUGAUCUCUGUGGUGUGUAAGGUACUGAUCUCUGUGGUGUGUAGGGUACUGAUCUCUGUGGUGUGUAGGGUACUGAUCUCUGUGGUGUGUAGGGUACUGAUCUCUGUGGUGUGUAGGGUACUGAUCUCUGUGGUGUGUAGGGUACUGAUCUCUGUGGUGUGUAGGGUACUGAUCUCUGUGGUGUGUAGGGUACUGAUCUCUGUGGUGUGUAAGGUACUGAUCUCUGUGGUGUGUAGGGUACUGAUCUCUGUGGUGUGUAAGGUACUGCUCUCUGUGGUGUGUAGGGUACUGAUCUCUGUGGUGUGUAGGGUACUGAUCUCUGUGGUGUGUAGGGUACUGAUCUUUAUUGUGUUCACAGGCCCGUCUUCCACUGAAGUGAAGUCUGGUCCGAUGACAUACUGCUGUGGGGAAAUCUCUCUGGGUAAGAGCCCAUACCCUAAUGUUGUGGUGGACACCCGAUUCUACAAGAUUAUCAAAGAUGGGAUGCCACAUGUCUAAUGACCAGACUUUGCCCUUCCAGAGAUGUAAGUACAUUCCGUACCGAUCACUGUACCUGUACACAGCCAAUCUGUAAAUAGCACACCCAACUACCUCAUCCCCAUAUAUUUUUUUGUUUGUUGCUCUUUUGCACCCCAGUAUCUCUACUUGCACAUCAAAAUUGUAAUUAUUGUAAAUUGUAAUUAUUUUGCCACUAUGGUCUAUUUAUUGCCUUACCUCCCUAAUCUUACUACAUUUGCACCCACUGUACAUAUAUUUUUAUUUUGUGUUAUUGACUGUACGUUUGUUUAUCCCAUCUGUAACUCUGUGUUGUUGUUUUUGUCGCACUACUUUGCUUUAUCUUGGCCAGGUCGCAGUUAGGCACACAUUUAAUUCCCUUACACGACAGUACGUACAUGGUAAUUGUUAUGCAUUAAACAUAGACAAUAAAGAUAGACACCCAAUGUAAGAAAAACAUCUGGAGUACCAGUAGGAAUUAAUAUACAAGUCAUUGGACUGCAAUCGAAACUAGCAUAUUAGCACAUUCAUUUUGCAGGUUAAAUCCUAACAUGUUUUCUUGUUUGAUUACCUUCUUUAUCCAGGGUAAGAACUUGGAAAUCUGACUAUAGACAUUGAGCAUGUACAGAUAGUCACAGUUUCCAUCUGAGUUGAAGGAGAUGACACCCACAGCCUUUCCAUUGAACACCAAAGGACCACUAGAAUCCCCCUGUGGGAGAGAGGAUGAUCACCUUAUAGGUUACAUACCAGUCAAAAUUGUCCAAUUUAGGUGCAUGUAUGAUGUAGGCUACACAUGUAUGAACAUCACAUUGUCUUCCUACAAUUUUCUAAGUCAAUAUUAUAAUUUUUAGGAGUAAACAAAACUGACAAAAUCCAUUCUUGGUCAGGUAUUCACCUGUACAGAUGACCUUGGGAUGAAGUUUACGCCACUGCUUCUGGCAGACCUUCAGGACAAUGGUAGUCAUGUCCACCACUUGAAGGUCAUCAACAAGGCACUUGGUGUUGGGUUUGAUGACUUGGUCCUAGAAUUUUCCCUGUUUUCACAGCUUUGCUUGAUUUAGACUUCUUAGACAGCUUGAAACACAUGUCUUGGCCAAAAUGUGGGAAUCUGUAGUAUUAGCAAUUACUGAUGAAUGCAUAUGACCUAUUAGGAUGUACACUUAGUAAUAGUGUAAAUAAUAAUAUAAAGACAAAUUCUAUUGAUACAAAUAUGUCACUAUAGGCCUACCUUCAGAAUCAUGAUGUCAUUACCAGUGUCAACAUCUUCAUAGUUGGUUGCAUUUGUGUUCCACAUUGUAUUUGACAGAGAUGGUACUGCAGUGUAUUCUUCUGUGCUUUUCUCCCCAUUGAUGAGAUAGUAAAAGUGGCCACAAUGAACUAAACGGUAAGGUAAUAGGCAUUUGUUCAGAUCUCAUUGAUGUGUGCCCAUCAAGUUCAGGAGAGACAAUUACCCAGAUAGGUCAGGAGAACAGUAGUUUGUGGUGUGCAUCUUGCUUGGAGGACUUGUCAGGAAUACCUGAUUCACUCUGGGCCCCUUUAUAUACACAAGAUGGUCGAUCUGAGGACAGCUGUGGUUUCACUUCUAUGAUGACUAUCUAUGAUGUUUCUAUCGAUCCUUUUAUGGUUUUCCUGUAAACCCAAGGUACGUGUUUUCUGCAUUUACCAUAACUCUGUCGGCCCUUCUGCAUGUGAAUAGGUGGAGGGUUAUCUUGGGGACCUUAUAUGUGACACACUGAUUAUUAGUGUCACUUUAAUGUUGCCAAUCCUCCUUGUUGUCGUGUUGAUGACCUUAUAUUGUUUGUAUAUGAUUGGCUGGUGGUAAUUUAGAGUGUAUGAACACUCAUAGUUGCAUGCAGUGCUGCAUUUACCUCAUAUAGGUCAACUCAUCUCCCUCUCCCUCAUGCAAGAGCCUUGUCUUCUCCUGGUCGAUGCUCUCCUGUGUUACCAUGCCAACUAUGAACAACCGGUGGUUUACAAAGGCUGACGACAUUCUUGAUGCUUUGAAAGACACAGUGACAGUCAUAAGACCUUGCCACUCUCAGUGGUCCUGCACUAGAGGAAGAGGGGGGGCAUAUCUUCUUACAAUGAAAAACUAGUUGAGAUAGGCCUACACAGUGCACCUAUUCAGAACAACAUGUGUACUACGAAAGGGCCAUACCUUUCUAGUCACUGUAGAAACAACAGUAAAUCACAUUUUAAAAUGUAAUGUUAGUUUAAGAGGAGGUUGUGUUGUGGUCAUUGAAAUUGAACCUAUUUUGGGGUGUAUCUGUACUUUACUAUUUAUAUUUUUGACAACUUUUACUUCACUACAUCCCUAAAUGUAGUGUACAUUUUACUCCAUACAUUUUCCCUGACUCCCCCCAAGUACUUGUUACAUUUCAAAUGCUUAGCAGGACAGGAAAAUGGUCCAAUUCACACACUUAUCAAGAGAACAUUCCAGGUCUUCCCUACUGCCUCUGAUCUGGCACUAAACACAAAUACUUUGUUUGGCACUAAAGUAAUACUGCAAAAAAUGUGGCAAAGCAAUUCACUUUCUGUCCUGAAUACUAAAUCCUAGACGAAAACCUGGUUCAGUCAGCUUUCCACCAGACACUGGGAAAUGAAUUCACCUUUCAUGAGGAAUAUAACCUAAAACACAAGGUCAAAUCUACGCUGGAGUUACCAAGAAGACAGUGAAUGUGGCCGAGCUACAGUUUUGACUUAAAUCUACUUUAAAAUCUUAGCAAGACCUGAAAAUGGUUGUCUAGCAAUGAUCAACAACCAAUUUGACAGAGCUUGAAGAAUUUUGAAAAGAAUAAUGGGCAAAUGUUGCACAAUCCAGGUGUGGAAACCUCUUAGAGACCCAGAAAAACUCACAGCUGUAAUCGCUGCCAAAGGUGCUUCUACAAACUAUUGACUCAGGGGUGUGAAUACUUAUGUAAAUUAGAUAUUUCUGUAUUUCAUUUUCAAUACACAUUUCUAAAACAUGUUUUCCCUUUGGGAUUAUGGGAUAUUGUGUGUAGAUGGGUGAGGGGAAAAAAAUAUUCAAUCCAUUUUGAAUUCAGGCUGUAACAACAAAAUGUGAAAUAAGUCAAGGGGUAUGAAUACUUUCUGAAGACAGACAGACACCACAGUGAUCACCAUGUCCUCUGGUCUGAAAACAGAAGCUGUGUUGUGGUUUCAAAGCAUUGUGGCAGCUUCAUGAAACGAGCUACUCUGUCUUGACCACAAGUUUCCAUGUGUGGUGGUGUUUGGUGAUGACAGGUGAAGAUACGAGAAGAGCUAGCUGUCUGAAGAUGUAUACUCAAAUCAAAUGAACGUUUAUUGGUCAGUUUAGCAGAUGUUAUAGCGCGUGCAGCGAAAUGCUUAUGUUACUAGCUCCUAACAAUACAAUAAAAUGUCAAACAAGUACACAAAUUGAAUAAAAUAAAAACACAACAAAUCAAUAAAUUUCAGAAUGAAUCCAAUUAACACUCCAAAUAGCACUGUAACAGUAAUCCAAAUGCAAAUGACUUGAGGCUGUUACUGGAAAUCAACUAAAAUACAAACAUACACGUGCAUGCAUAUACACUCUAUCCUACUCGAGCAUACACACACACACACAGACACGGUACAGAGCUCAUUGAAGAACGGACAGGCUUUGUUUGAUACAAUGAUAUAUAUUUAUUAGUCA